CGGACGGGUUAGUAACGCGUGGGAAUGUACCCUUCACUUCGGAAUAGUCCCGGGAAACUGGGUUUAAUACCGUAUACGCCCUUCGGGGGAAAGAUUUAUCGGUGAAGGAUCAGCCCGCGUCUGAUUAGAUAGUUGGUGGGGUAAUGGCCUACCAAGUCUACGAUCAGUAGCUGGUUUGAGAGGAUGAUCAGCAACACUGGGACUGAGACACGGCCCAGACUCCUACGGGAGGCAGCAGUGGGGAAUCUUAGACAAUGGGCGCAAGCCUGAUCUAGCCAUGCCGCGUGAGUGAUGAAGGCCUUAGGGUCGUAAAGCUCUUUCGCUGGGGAAGAUAAUGACGGUACCCAGUAAAGAAACCCCGGCUAACUCCGUGCCAGCAGCCGCGGUAAUACGGAGGGGGUUAGCGUUGUUCGGAAUUACUGGGCGUAAAGCGCGCGUAGGCGGAUUGGAAAGUUGGGGGUGAAAUCCCGGGGCUCAACCCCGGAACUGCCUCCAAAACUAUCAGUCUAGAGGUCGAGAGAGGUGAGUGGAAUUCCGAGUGUAGAGGUGAAAUUCGUAGAUAUUCGGAGGAACACCAGUGGCGAAGGCGGCUCACUGGCU
rnacentral:rRNA from 1 species